GCCGAAAUAGCUCCAGUUUAGAGAGCGUUAGACUGAGAAGAUCUAAAAGGUCCCUAGUUCAAUCCCGGGUUUCGGCA